rnacentral:sRNA from 1 species
AUCGCAGCAGGUGUUCUCGGGGUAAUUGCUAUUUGUGUAUUGCUUCGGUUAUGGCCAAAGUGAGGAAGAUGGGAAUGGGAUACGGGAAUAUGGAUAUUGGUUGCCAAUCCAAUUGAUGUUGGAACUAGGUAAGGUUUGAGAAUAUGGUGAAGUCACGGGAUAAAAAGCUCUCUAAACCGAUGAUAAUGGAUAUAUAAGAGUAUCAGAGGAAAAAAGAAAAACAAGAAAUAAAAAAAAAAGAAGAAGAGAACAGAUUCUAAUGAGAAAACAAAGCCUUAUACGAAAAAAGGAGGAAGGAAGAAAGAAGGCACUAAAAUAAAAUCUAUCCUGAUCUCAUCAUCAUGCUUUAUCUGGCCAGUAGGUCUUUAUGAUGUCCCUCUUAUUCACCUUCCCCAUUGCGUUCCGCUCGAUAUUAUCCACGAGUUUCAACACGGUAGGCACCUUGUAUGAGGCCAUUUCUUCCCUCAGUCGAAUACGUAGGGAGCUGAGUUCGAGCGCAGGAGUCUGGCCAAUGGAAAGUGAAAAAUUAGUCGGCUUAGCAUCAAUCAUCCAAUUAUACGCCCAGGGUGUGAAGAGGGGAGGAGUAUGUAAGUAAGGAAGUAGGAAAGAAAAAAAAAAGAAAGAGAGAAAGAAAAGGACAUACACCAGACCUCUGCUUAACCACAGCCGCCACCCGCUGACCCCAUUCCUCAUCCGCAAGCCCGACAACCACGACCUCCUGAAUCUCGUCCAAUGCCAGCAUCUUCCUUUCCACUUCUAGCGCCGAGAUCUUGUAGCCACCAGACUUGAUCAGAUCAACUGACGCCCGUCCCUGGAUAUAAUACGCCCCGUUCGAAUCCCGCUUAGCAACAUCGCCCGUCUUAAACCACCCAUCCGCGGUAAACUCCUUCGCAGUAGCUUCCGGCCGUCUCCAAUAUUCCAGAAACACAUUAUCCCCUUUCACCUCAAUCAUGCCCGCCUCCUCCGUCUCCACCGCAACCACCUGCCCGGUUUCCUUAUUGGUGAGCCGAACCUGCACGCCCGGCAGCGGCCACCCAACGCUGCCGUCAAUUCUCGUCUUGAUAUCUAGCCCACAGCUAAUCCCCAUGCCGAUCUCCGUCAUGCCAUACCGCUCCAGCAGCACCUGGCCCGUAAUCUCCGCGAAUUUCGUCUUGAUGGGCGUGGGCAGGGCCGCCGAGCCACUGACAACCAGACGCAGGGCCUUCGUGCCCCUCCGUGCAUCCGGCUCCAGUUCCGUCGACCGGAUGUGCGCAUCGAAGUAGUCCACGAGCCGCGAGUAGACGGUCGGCACGGCGAAGAACAUCGUCGACGAGCCCCGAUCGCACCACCGCCUCCAGACCACGGCGGGAUCGAACUUGGGGUGCAUUUCCACUGUCGCGCCGGCGAGGAGCGUGGCCGUGAGCCCGUUGAUGAUCCCAUGCACAUGGUGCAAGGGGAGCACAUGGAUGAGGUGGUCUGCCGGGGUAUAUUCCCAGGCCUUGGCUAGGCACUCCGAUUGGAAUGUUAUGUUCUUGUGGGUUGUGACGCAGCCUUUGGGGUUCGAGGUUGUUCCGGACGUAUAUAUCAUCAAUGCGCGCCUGGAUUGGGGGAGGGAAGUGUGGAACGGUGGUAAGGGCACUGGAGAUUUCGUGCUGGCGACGAGAGGGAUUAGAUCAAAAAAGGGAAUAUCGGGACAAGCUUCUCGAAUGGCAGGUUUCAUAUGGCUGAAUGAGGGAUGGAGGAUGAUCAACGAAGGAUCCGAAUCGGUAAUGGUAUAUAUGAUUUCUUUCGUCGGAUGGGUGGUGCCUGUUAUGGUUAAACCGGUUAGCUUUUACAACGAGUAAGAAGUAAAAAGAAAAAAAAAAAAAAAAAAAAAAAAAAAAAAAAAAAAAAAAAAAAAAAAAAAACAACAAUUGAAUAUCUCC